rnacentral:snRNA from 1 species
GUACUUAACCUGGCAGGGGAGACGCCAUGGCCGGGCAGGUGGGUUUCCCAGGGUGGUGCUCAUCCUCCACACUUCAGGUGUGUUGACCCCUGUGAUUUCCCCAAAUGCAGGAAACUCAGCUGCACAAUUUGUGGUAAUGGGGGACAGCAUUAGUGCUCUAUUUUU